rnacentral:rRNA from 1 species
AGGGCGUACGGUGGAUGCCUUGGCGCAGGACGGCGAUGAAGGACGCGGUAAGCUGCGAAAAGCUCCGGUGAGUCGCAAACAGGCUUUGACCCGGAGAUUUCCGAAUGGGGCAACCCCUCGAGUAACCCUCGAGAACGUCAUCUGAAUACAUAGGGUGGCGUGGCCUACCCGGGGAAGUGAACCAUCUCAGUACCCGGAGGAACAGAAAGCAAAUGCGAUUCCCCCAGUAGCGGCGAGCGAACAGGGAACAGCCUAAACCUUUGAUGUGUAAGCCUGCAGGCGUUGUAUCAAGGGUGUUGUAGGGCCGGACAUGGUGUGGCUGCAGUCGCACCGGGGAGUAAGAAACCAAUCUCCUAACCGAACGAUCUGGAAAGGUCGGCGAUACAGGGUGAUAGCCCCGUAGGUGAAAGGAGAGAGGCUCCCUCGUCUGGUACCUGAGUACCGCGGGACACGUGGAACCCUGCGGGAACCUGGGAGGACCAUCUCCCAAGGCUAAAUACGUUCCUGCGACCGAUAGUGAACCAGUACCGUGAGGGAAAGGUGAAAAGAACCCCUGUGAGGGGAGUGAAAUAGUACCUGAAACCGUAUGCCUACAAGCAGUGGGAGGGCGUUUGCCGGGGCUUCGGCUCCGGUAUUGCCUGACCACGUGCCUUUUGCAUAAUGAGCCGGCUAGUUAUUCUCGGUGGCAAGGUUAAGCGUUAAGCCAGCCGCAGCGAAAGCGAGUCUGAUAAGGGCGAUUCAGUCGCCGGGAAUAGACGCGAAGCGAGGUGAUCUACCCAUGGCCAGGGUGAAAGUCGGGUAACACCGACCGGAGGCCCGAACCAGUGUUGGUUGAAAACAACUUGGAUGAGCUGUGGGUAGGGGUGAAAGGCUAAUCAAACCUCGUGAUUGCUCGUUCUCCUCGAAAUAGCUUUAGGGCUAGCCUCGCGGGUUAGCUUCCGGAGGUAAAGUACUGGAUGGACUAGGGCCUCUACCAAGGUACUGAAUCCAACCAAACUCUGAAUGCCGGAAAGCCGGACCGCGGGAGUCAGACAGUGGGGGCUAAGCUUCAUUGUCGAGAGGGAAACAGCCCAGACCGCCAGCUAAGGUCCCUAAUUCAGACUUAGUGGUAAAGGAUGUGGAUCCGCUAAAACAGCCAGGAGGUUGGCUUAGAAGCAGCCAUCCUUCAAAGAAAGCGUAAUAGCUCACUGGUCGAGUGGAUCCGCGCCGACAAUUCAACGGGGCUCAAGUCUGAUACCGAAGCUGCGGACUCAUGAGAGAUUCGUCUCUCAUGAUUGGUAGAGGAGCGUUCCAUGUUCGCUGAAGCCCGACCGACAAGGACGGGUGGAGGGCAUGGAAGAGACCCUGCCGGCACAAGUAGCGAUAAAACACGCGAGAACCGUGUUCGCCGAAAGCCUAAGGUUUCCUGAGGAAGGUCAAUCCGCUCAGGGUUAGUCGGUCCUAAGGCCAGGCCGAAAGGCGUAGCCGAUGGAAAACGGGUCAACAUUCCCGUACUGCCGCAAGGCGAUAAAGACCGAUGGGGUGACGCAGAAGGGCAAGCCAGCCCGCGACUGGUUGUGCGGGUUCAAGGGUGUAGGAAGGCUUCGCAGGCAAAUCCACGAAGCCGUGUUUCCGAGACCUGAUAACGAGAGCUUCGGCUCAUAAAGUGGCCCAUCCCACGCUGCCAAGAAAAGCCUCUAAGGAGUCUUGUGGUGACCGUACCGCAAACCGACACAGGUAGGCGAGGAGAGAAUCCUAAGGCGCUAGUGAGAACCCUCGUUUAGGAACUCGGCAAAAUAGCCCCGUAACUUCGGGAGAAGGGGUGCCCUCUCUGGUGAAGGACUUCGCGUCCGGAGCUGGGGGGGGUUGCAGUGAAUUGGCCCAGGCGACUGUUUACUAAAAACAUAGGGCUCUGCAAAGUCAACAAAACGACGUAUAGGGCCUGACGCCUGCCCGGUGCCGGAAGGUUAAAGAGAGGGGUUAGUCCUUCGGGACGAAGCUCUGAACUGAAGCCCCGGUAAACGGCGGCCGUAACUAUAACGGUCCUAAGGUUAGGAAAACGCUAGCCUUAGUAAAAUCGAACCAUAUGCGGGAACAUCCUCGAAAACGUCUCGGUACUCGUCGUCGGCACCGCCGGCGGCAGUAAGAAUCCGAACGACAUGGGGACAAUCCGCAGGGAAGGCUCAAGAUGACACAGAACAUCUUCGAGAACCCUCAGAGACUUGACGUUCGAGGUUGGUCAUGAACCUCGAUGCCAGCUGGGUCGUUGGCUUCGUCGACGGUGAAGGCUGUUUCCAUGUCGGUAUCAAUCCGCACUCCGAUAUGAAGACGGGCUACCAGGUGCUUCCUGAGUUCACCGUCGUCCAGCACAAGCGUGACACGCAAGUGCUUCACGGCCUGAAGGCCUACUUCGGGUGCGGUGUGGUUCGAACGAACCACGGCGACCGGAUGGCCUACCGCGUGAGAAGCCUCGAGCAUCUACUUCAACGAAUCGUUCCUUUCUUCAUGAACCACAGCUUGAAAACAAAGAAGCACGUCGACUUUUUGAAGUUUCGUGACGUGCUCCUCCUGAUGGAGAAGGGCGAGCAUCUCAACCUGGAAGGUAUCGAGAAGAUCAGACACAUCGCAGCGGUGAUGAACCGCGGCCAACCAAGGUAAAGUCCGACCUGCAUGGCGACAUGCAGAGGCUGGCAGAAAUGACCAGCCCCCCACGCCUCAGGGCGUGGAGCAACAAAAGU